rnacentral:sRNA from 1 species
GAAAGCACAGUUUAUUUUGUGGGUGGGGCUUCAGGUGCCAGCCAGCUGAAGGAUGGCCACCCCUGUGGUCACCAAGACAGCCUGGAAGUUGCAAGAGAUCGUCGCGCAUGCCAGCAAUGUGUCCUCACUGGUGCUGGGCAAAGCCUCCGGGCGGCUGCUGGCUACAGGCGGGGAUGACUGCCGCGUCAACCUGUGGUCCAUCAACAAGCCCAACUGCAUCAUGAGCCUGACGGGCCACACAUCCCCAGUGGAGAGCGUCCGCCUCAACACCCCCGAGGAGCUCAUCGUGGCCGGCUCUCAGUCGGGCUCCAUCCGUGUCUGGGACCUGGAAGCUGCCAAAAUUCUUCGCACACUCAUGGGACACAAAGCCAACAUCUGCAGCCUGGAUUUCCACCCGUACGGCGAGUUUGUAGCCUCUGGUUCCCAGGACACAAACAUCAAGCUCUGGGACAUCAGGAGGAAAGGCUGUGUCUUCCGAUACAGGGGGCACAGCCAGGCCGUGCGGUGUCUCCGGUUCAGCCCCGAUGGGAAGUGGUUGGCGUCAGCCGCAGAUGACCACACCGUGAAGCUCUGGGAUCUCACUGCCGGCAAGAUGAUGUCUGAGUUCCCUGGUCACACGGGGCCUGUCAACGUGGUCGAGUUUCACCCCAACGAGUACCUCCUGGCCUCCGGCAGCUCUGACAGGUGAGGAGGAGGAGCGAGGCGAGUUGCUUGUGACUGCUGUCCUUCACCA